rnacentral:rRNA from 1 species
UAAGGUCAUAACUUCAUCUUGUCAAAGCCUGAUCUCGUCAGACCUCAGAAGCUAAGCAGGUCUGGGCUGGGUUAAUACUUGGAUGGGAGACGGUUGGGAUCACCAGGUGCCACGGUGU